AGGAUGGAUGCCAGGAAGAAAUAUAAAUUUCCCAGGGGAGAACACAGACCAGCUGAAGGAAAUCAGCAUUUGUCCAGAAAAGCAUGAUGGCAGUACCAAAGGCCAGCACAGUUGCCACCGUUCAGGUUCUUUGGAGCCCAUUACCUGACCCCAAGGAGUUCCGCAUGUGGUGGAUCACAGUGGGUGGCAGAAGUCCCCUCUCUCCCUUUGCAGGCCAGGAUGGAGCUUAUCUUGGCUUCGUUCUGGCAUCUCACCUAUGGAAGGCAGAGGCUGCCCAUGGAUUUCUGCCUGUAACUGGAAGCUACAUCUCAAGUGGAACAACCUUUCAACAAUAGAGGCUAUGUUUCUACAUGGGGAUCAGAUUCUUAAUGAGAACUCAAAUGCCUAAAAGAGCAGAAGCCCUUCCUUCAGAAAUUUUCCUUCCAGAAGUUGAUCAUAGAGGAAGUAACCGAGCAAGCAUAAAAGGCAGAAUGCUAUAACUGGAAGGCCGCAAAUGAGGUCUGUGAAGAUGAAGCCACCAAAGAGAGGGCGUUUUUGGUCCCUGGGUGUUGGGCCUUCUCAUCAGCCGCCGGACUGUGGUUUGGUCAGCCUGGUUUCCUUCACCCCUGCUGACAUGGGGACACUGUGACAUGGGACAUCGAUGACGUCGCGUCGCCUAUGGGAUGGACCCUGGGUGCUUCGUGGUGACCUGACCCUGCUGACCUCCCUAGUCUUGCCUGCUCCUGGCACACGUCCUCCUCCAGCUUCUUGGAAUUUGGCCUGGCCCCCUCAUAAUGCUUUCUGCAAAUGCAGAGGCUUUAGUCACGUGCUGUUCCCUCUGCCUGGAAACCCCACCUCCUUCUGCACACCCUCAGCACUUAUUCAUCUUUCAAGAGCCUGCUGGAAAUUUCUGUCAGGAAGCCUUCCCUGAUUCACUUCAUCCCAUGGAAACCAUCCUGUGUUUCUUAAACAUCUAGGUGGUUAGCAAUGUGGAGAAAAA